rnacentral:lncRNA from 1 species
AUGAAACCAUGUGGGAAAGGGUGGGGAGAGGAAAGAGGGGAAAGCAGCAGGUGGGAAGCGAAGGAAGGAGGUUGGACACGGAGGGGAGUGAGGGGCGGGACGCCUCCAGGAGAGACCUGGGGCCCGAAGGCAGGGCACGGCCACGCCCGCGCCCCGCAACGGCGGGGGAAGCGCGGGGGGGCGGCGCCGCGCGAACCGGAGGCGCCGCCGGGGCCUGGAGGUCCCGCCCGCGCCCCCCCGCGCCGCUCCGCCGGGGAGCGGGGACCCCCGGAGGGCGGGGGAGCUGCGGGGGAGGAGCUGCCCUUCGCCUUCGCCCGGUGCGAGGCAGCGCUCGGCGCGGUCCGACGGGCCGCCUUGAGCCGGGCCGGGCCGGCCGGGCCGCGGCGCCACAGAAAACAAGAACGACCUUGGAUGACAUUUCAAGUAUCAGUGCUCUGCAUGAAUUCCAGAAGCAACUUGUGCCAGCAGGAAGCGAGACAUCAUCUGAAUGAACGCAAGUUCUGCACAGAGAGAAUGUGAGGUUUAGAGAGAUUUUGCACCACCUAGUGAGCCACUGAUGCCUGCACCAGCAAGAGGGGAAGUGGCUGCCAGCGCCGAGCUCCAGGUGUGUCUUGGAUGUGCAAAAUGCACUCUCAGCACAAAAUUCAUGGAAGGUUUGGAAACUGCUGUUCCAGAAACACAGGUAUGCUACUGUCCUUUCAGCAGCACAGUUUCAGCCUCCGCACCAUGAGCAUCUCCUCUGCUUUAAAACUACUUCCUGCUGGUGCUGCUAGACCCACCUAGUGCAUGGAUUGGAAGAGGCCUUAACAAGCCACUAUCCCAUGGGCUCCUGGGGACAGCUACAUUAUGUGCAUGGAGGUCUGACAUCAGAACAGACUUUACUGCAUGAAUGUGUGAAGACACAUGACGAAAGCUGCAGACUGCAUGCUCUGCUCAGUGGGCUCUCACUUUCUCAGAAGGGAAAAGCCUGGUGUCAAAAAGCCUGCUCCAGGCUGGGACUACAUACAAGUCACAAUAUUUUCCUUAAAUAAUCAUAGAAUAUCUCACAUUGGAAGGGACCCAUAAGGAUCAUCAAGUCCAACUCCUGCUCCAUGCAGAACUACCAAAAACUAAAUCAUAUGACGUCAUCGCCCAGAUAUAUAAUGAUAUAUAAAAUAUAUUAUACAUAAUGUAAUGUGUAUAAUAUUUGAUAUUGUAUGUUGUAUAUUAUAUAUUACAUAUAUGUAAUAACCAGAAAUAUAACUGGAUGUAAAAAUGAUUCUCUCACUCUUAGAAAUCCUUGUACUACAGUAAGUAUCCAGUAUUUUUCUGUACCUGACAGUCACAGAAAUCUCAGGUGGCCAACUGCUCUCUACUCACGUCUUUAAGUGCCGGUGCACUGUUUGUCCAGAACUGAAUAGUAUAAAAGCUGCAUGUAAACAACCAACACAAAAGUAGGGUUUCCUUCCUCCACUCAAACCUCUGUGGGCAAAAGGCAAAAACCUGGAAUGGAAAGAAAAUGUCCACUUUCAACUGUCUCAUUCAAUGUAAAAGCCACAAAAUUCAUAACUGGACUUCCUUUUUCAAUAAAUUCUAUAUUACACUGUGGAAAGUAAAUGUUACAAACAUUUAACUUCCCUCCAACACAAAGUGCCUUCACAUAAGUAGUGAAUCAGACCAAACAUCUGUUUAGCUAAAUAUCUUGCUUCCUACAAUAACAUCUAAAGGGUAACCAUG